rnacentral:rRNA from 1 species
GUUUGAUCCUGGCUCAGGACGAACGCUGGCGGCGUGCCUAAUACAUGCAAGUCGAACGAAGCUUUCUUUCACCGAAUGCUUGCAUUCACCGAAAGAAAACUUAGUGGCGAACGGGUGAGUAACACGUAGGCAACCUGCCCAAAAGAGGGAGAUAACACUUGGAAACAGGUGCUAAUACCGCAUAACCAUGAACACCGCAUGAUGUUCAUGUAAAAGACGGCUUUUGCUGUCACUUUUGGAUGGGCCUGCGGCGUAUUAACUUGUUGGUGGGGUAACGGCCUACCAAGGUGAUGAUACGUAGCCGAACUGAGAGGUUGAUCGGCCACAUUGGGACUGAGACACGGCCCAAACUCCUACGGGAGGCAGCAGUAGGGAAUCUUCCACAAUGGACGAAAGUCUGAUGGAGCAACGCCGCGUGAAUGAAGAAGGCCUUCGGGUCGUAAAAUUCUGUUGUCAGAGAAGAACGUGUGUGAGAGUAACUGUUCACGUAUUGACGGUAUCUGACCAGAAAGCCACGGCUAACUACGUGCCAGCAGCCGCGGUAAUACGUAGGUGGCAAGCGUUGUCCGGAUUUAUUGGGCGUAAAGGGAACGCAGGCGGUCUUUUAAGUCUGAUGUGAAAGCCUUCGGCUUAACCGAAGUAGUGCAUUGGAAACUGGAAGACUUGAGUGCAGAAGAGGAGAGUGGAACUCCAUGUGUAGCGGUGAAAUGCGUAGAUAUAUGGAAGAACACCAGUGGCGAAAGCGGCUCUCUGGUCUGUAACUGACGCUGAGGUUCGAAAGCGUGGGUAGCAAACAGGAUUAGAUACCCUGGUAGUCCACGCCGUAAACGAUGAGUGCUAAGUGUUGGAGGGUUUCCGCCCUUCAGUGCUGCAGCUAACGCAUUAAGCACUCCGCCUGGGGAGUACGGUCGCAAGACUGAAACUCAAAGGAAUUGACGGA